AACAUCGCGCACCUGCGGGAACCUGCGGAAGGAUCAUUACAGAGUUGCAAAACUCCCUAAACCAUUGUGAACGUUACCUAAACCGUUGCUUCGGCGGGCGGCCCGGGUCCUUCCCGGCGCCCAUCGGCCCUCGCGGGCGCCCGCCGGAGGUAAACCAAACUAUUGCAUUGUAUGGCCUCUCUGAGUCUUCCGUACUGAAUAAGUCAAAACUUUUAACAAUGGAUCUCAGAUCGGAAGAGC
rnacentral:misc_RNA from 1 species